UGCAGAAUCCCAUAAACCAUCGAGAUUUUAAAUGCAAGUUGAGCCCGAAGCCAUUAGGCCGGGGACACGUCUGCCUGGACGUC
rnacentral:rRNA from 1 species